CAGAGAAAAGCUGGUCCAGGAUCCUGCAGACACUGUACCAGGAGUAGAAACACAGACCGAAUGUCCAUGGACGUCACCUUUGGAUGUUUGCACUUUAUACCGCUCAAAAUGCUUCCCUAAAAGAACAGUUGUCACAAAAAGAAGUCCAAGUUGAAGAAUAACAGUCUGCACUUUCAUCAAAGUGUUGUGAAAUUCAGAUUUUAAAGCAACUGGUGGGAAUUUAAACAAACUGUAAAUGUCGAUAUAGUUCUGCUCAAAGAAGCAAUAGUUAAAAUUUGUUUAAAUAUUAUACAGGAAUCAUAUGAUUUUAUUUCUGCUUCUUUGAUAUAAUUGAAUAACUGUUAGUUUAUUCAUGUUUGGAAUAAAGCAUUGUAAAGUGAA